CUCCGAGUGUUAGCUCGUGUACCUGACGUCCGCCCGAAACGACUGCGCCUUGUGCCCGGGGGAAGAGGUGAGAAUCGAAUCCUGAACCGAAGUCCUGAUAAGGCCGCGCUUAUCACUUUGGCUAAGCCUUGUAUUUUUUAUAUUUUAUUUUACGCUUACUAUCAGUUUGGUUAUAAAUAGGGAAUCCCAAAAUCUUACUAUAUUGUACAACUCGAGAAAAAUGGGUUCCAGGAAGUUGCUUGUUUUGGAGAUCUUUCUCUUGACACUUAUCCUUCUCUUGGCUUUUGAAGUGGCUGCAAGGGAACUGCUUGACGUCACGGGUAAGUUUCAAUCUGGAUUCUUGCUUUUGGGAACUGCUUUGGCUUUAGGUUGGUCAGUCGUAUUGGCUUUUGGAUUCUAUCCGUUCAUAUGUAGGAUUUUCUGAAAAAUUCUAUAACGAUUUCUGAAAAAACUUUAAUUCUAUAAAAAUUUAUUUUAAUAGAAUUCAAAUCAAUCGUUAAUAUUAAUUUAUAUCAAGAUAAAUAAGUUCAAAAUAGAACCCUAAAUGUUUGAACUGAACUUAUCUACAAUAUGAACGGUUUGUGUCAUUAAAAUGAACUCAAAAUAAAACUCAAAAUUUUUGAGUUGCACCCAUACAACUUCAGAGAAGCCAGAUCCAUAUUAUAUAUAUGAACAUAAGAAUCUUGAUAUAUUAUCUUUUGGAAAGAGUUUUACUAGAGACAAUGAACAGUGGAUGGAUAAUGCAAAUUCACAUGUGGUGGUACCCACGUAUUUAUUAGCUCAUUGCAACAAAAUAUAUAUUUUUUAUUUUUUUAUUUUGAAAAUCAUGUCCAAUGUUCUCUUCUACUUUUUAUAUUUCGUGUUUGAUUGGCAACUAGAAAUGGUUAUAAGUUUAUAACACACACAACACUGUUCAUGCUUGGUAAUGUUAGAUUUUGUUAAAGUGUUUUUUGGAAAAGCAACCCUUGAAGUAUUUCUGAAAAUAUGCUUAAAUCGACCCUUCAAAAGAAAAAACAAAAGCAUUAAGUAAUUUUUUAAAGGUUUUCCAAAUAUUCACGUACAACGUUUUUCUAGAUAAAAAUUGACAAAAAGCUUCUAGAAAUUUUUCAAAACAUGCUCACUAUAUUCCAUAAGUGUGAAAUAUAAUAUAUCACACGAUUACACUCCCAUGGUAUAUUAUAUCCCCACCAGCAAACAUGGCCCCCUCUCAAUAUUCAUUCAAUGGCUAUGACCAAUCCUUUUUUUCUUAUCCCAAGCCAUAUCCUGAUAUCCUAACCCAAACAAACAUAGUAUAUGUAUUAUUACUUUUUUUAUAUAUCGUGUAUCUUAUUGUAUUACGUAUCUCUUUAUCUUUUUGUAUCCUUUCAUUUCAUAUUCGGACAAUCAAACAAACCCUUAUCAUAUUUGUGUUGUUAAAACAGGCAAAAUCGAUCGGCAGCUCAGCGCAAAUGAUUACCCCCGGGGUUACAGUUAUUCGUACCCCACUUAUUAUUCUCCCAACCGCCCAUGAUGUUUGUUGAUCAAAAUUUAGAACUUAUGUAUAAGACCGAUUAAAAAGGUGGUUGAUAUGAGCAUGAGAGGCUAUUUGCUUAGCAACCUAUUUUGUUGUCACUACUACUUUGCCUCUUUGAUAAAAAGAUGGCAUCUUGUAAAAUCUAUGAUAGCUUAUGAAUAAAAUUCAGUGACUAAAGCUGUCCAUGACAUUUACUAUUAUCAUUUCUUUAUGCGUGUGAAAUUAUAUUUUAUUUUAAUAGCUCGGUAUCUAGUGCUUCACGUACCAACUAAUUUAGGGAUCAAUUCUAUCGUCCGUUAGUGGAGGGUCUGAUUAAAUUAGAUCGGUGCAAAUUCCCGUGUGGAUUGGUUAACUCAUUAAUUGAUAACUCUUGGGAAGUUUCGAACUAGAGAUCUUGAAAGAAAUCGAACAAACUUCAAGGUGAUCUCAUACAUAGAUCACCAAGCUAAUCAAUCCAUUGGAAUUAUAUGUGUGGAAAUUAAAGGGAGGAAAUGUGUAUAUAUGAUGGGCACAUAUUGGAGAAGUUUACAAGUUUAGGUGUGACUUUCUCUUCUCUUUUCUGUUCAGUACUCUCAAUAAUAUAGAAACCUAAAAUAUAUAUUUGUCUUCUCUCUCUAACUACUCUUCUCACUACUCUCUAAAUAAUAAUUUUUCUCACAUUUCUCUCUCCAAAUUCCUCCAGCGUCCUUUUACUUUUUUUCUCUAGUGUUCUCUAAGAUUUUUUAAUGUGUAUUACGGAGAAGAGAAUGGCGAUUUAUGGGUAAGCCUAGGUUUUCAAAUUUGGUAUCUUAUGGACUUAGAAACUUUUGGGGUGGCUUCACUGUCUGAAAUGCAAACUAAAAAUUUUGAUUUUUGGAAAGGAAAAAAUAAUAAAAAAUAAAAUAAAAAGUUUUUUGUAUAUAAAAUUAGACUUUCAAAAAAUAAUCGGGUUAAAAUUAAGUAAAUAGAUUUUUGGCUAAAAACUAUUUGAACUUUAAAAUAAAAUAU
rnacentral:lncRNA from 1 species